rnacentral:rRNA from 1 species
UAACACGUAGGGGGCAAGCGUUGUCCGGAAUUAUUGGGCGUAAAGAGCUCGUAGGCGGCUCGGUAAGUCAGGUGUGAAAUUCCAGGGCUCAACCCUGGAACGCCACCUGAUACUGCUGUGGCUAGAGUCCGGUAGGGGAGCGUGGAAUUCCUAGUGUAGCGGUGAAAUGCGCAGAUAUUAGGAGGAACACCAGCGGCGAAGGCGGCGCUCUGGGCCGGAACUGACGCUGAGGAGCGAAAGCGUGGGGAGCAAACAGGAUUAGAUACCCUGGUAGUCCACGCCGUAAACGUUGGGCACUAGGUGUGGGACUCACUCAACGGGUUCCGUGCCGAAGCUAACGCAUUAAGUGCCCCGCCUGGGGAGUACGGCCGCAAGGCUA